rnacentral:rRNA from 1 species
GAUGAACGCUGGCGGCGUGCUUAACACAUGCAAGUCGAGCGAAGCACUUUGAAUUUUUCGGAAUGAGAAGUGACUGAGCGGCGGACGGGUGAGUAACGCGUGGGUAACCUGCCUCAUACAGGGGGAUAACAGUUAGAAAUGACUGCUAAUACCGCAUAAGCGCACGUCAUCGCAUGAUGGUGUGUGAAAAACUCCGGUGGUAUGAGAUGGACCCGCGUCUGAUUAGGUAGUUGGUGGGGUAACGGCCCACCAAGCCGACGAUCAGUAGCCGACCUGAGAGGGUGACCGGCCACAUUGGAACUGAGACACGGUCCAA